rnacentral:rRNA from 1 species
UACGGGGGGAGCAAGCGUUGUUCGGAUUUACUGGGCGUAAAGGGCGCGUAGGCGGCCAGCACAAGUCAGUUGUGAAAUCUCCGAGCUUAACUCGGAAAGGUCAACUGAUACUGUGCGGCUAGAGUGCAGAAGGGGCAACUGGAAUUCUUGGUGUAGCGGUGAAAUGCGUAGAUAUCAGGAGGAAUACCGGUGGCGAAAGCGACUCUCUGGACGGCAACUGACGCUGAGGCACGAAAGCGUGGGGAGCAAACAGG